AGGUUGUCUCAGAUCACCUAGUCUGCAGUGACGCUCAAAGCCAAAGGAGCUGAGCUUCACAACAUAGCACACACUCAAAAAUGGACUAAUGGAUGCCCAGUCAAGCAAAACAUAAUUUCCAGUGCAUGGAGAAAAUUUUAAAGGUGAGAUAUGAGAACCUUUGACUCUUGGGUGGCCACAUGGUAAACCCAUCUUAAGGAGCUGCAGGUGGGCUGCAUUCAAUUACUAAAAUUUCUAGGACAUUUGUUCAAAGAAUGAAUGAAUGAAUGAAGAUGUACAUUCAACUGCUGUGGACAUGCAGAAGGUACUGGUGGAGUCAGGGUCUCUGCAGCUGUGCACAUGGGCAUCAGGUGUGGGAGCAUGGCUGGUGCAUCGUCUGACUUCUGAGGAUGCUUAACGUUUCAAAGCACAGCGAACUUCAUUAUAGAAGCUGUUUUCCAAAGUACAUAUACAACAAGAUGGUGCUGUGUUGAGGAAGAAGUGGGGUGCACCUAGGAUAAUCACAAUCUUCACUCCACCCCCAACCUCCCACCCCCACAUUUUUGCCCCCAACAGGUAAGCCCAUUGGAAAUAAGCCAGUAAGUAUUCCUUGGACCUCGUUCAGCUCCCUCUUCUCCAGGGAAAAGGGAGGAUGCAAAUACAGUUUUUUGUCUUGUGUGAAAAUGUGCAGUUUAGCAAGGCCCUGUGUGCAUUUCGUGGCAGAUCUGGAAAAUAAGGUUUAAUGAUGAGAAAAGAAGGAAAUGAUUGUCAAAAUAUGACUUCAUAAGGCACAGUCCCUGGGGGCCUAUUUUGGCAGUAAAGAUAAUUAAGCUUAGAUUUUUAAAGGUCAGUUUUAACCAGCUCAUAAGGCAAAUGGCAACAGUAACAUCAUCCUAGCCCUGUGUAUCUAUGGCAACUGAGUUUCUCAGCUGUAAUUAAACAUAAAACUACAACUACUGCACUGGUCCCAGCACUAACUGCAAAUAAAUACCUGAGAACAAAGUGGGCAAACUUGACACCUCCUUUUGGAAUAUUCUGGCCAUUUACUGGGAAAACAAGCAACAGAAGCUGCUGUUAAAGUUGCUGCUAAUGAGCCCAGGUUGCUGGCCCACCCACCUGCCUCUGGGACCUCGUGUAAGAGGAAGACUGAUCCCAAAUCAAUUGUUUUUCAUUCAUAUAGUGGUUGUAAGUUGGAGAGCAAAGGUAUCAAAGAAAGGUGAUUGUUUGGAUAUUCGAAUUAUCUUUUUAAAAGUAUUUUUUCUAACCUCAAAAAUGAUUAAAAAUGGCCAGG